AUUGAACGCUGGCGGAAUGCUUUACACAUGCAAGUCGAACGGCAGCACGGGAGCUUGCUCCUGGUGGCGAGUGGCGAACGGGUGAGUAAUGCAUCGGAACGUACCUAUUAGUGGGGGAUAACUAUCCGAAAGGAUGGCUAAUACCGCAUACGUCCUGAGGGAGAAAGCGGGGGAUCGUAAGACCUCGCGCUAAUAGAGCGGCCGAUGUUGGAUUAGCUAGUUGGUGGGGUAAAGGCCUACCAAGGCGACGAUCCAUAGCUGGUCUGAGAGGAUGAUCAGCCACACUGGGACUGAGACACGGCCCAGACUCCUACGGGAGGCAGCAGUGGGGAAUUUUGGACAAUGGGGGCAACCCUGAUCCAGCCAUUCCGCGUGAGUGAAGAAGGCCUUCGGGUUGUAAAGCUCUUUCGGCAGGAACGAAACGGUAGUUACUAAUACUAGCUGCUAAUGACGGUACCUGAAGAAGAAGCACCGGCUAACUACGUGCCAGCCGCCGCUGUAA
rnacentral:rRNA from 1 species